AGCGGGGCCGCGCCCACCGCAGGGGCCGCCGGGAAGCGGCGGAGGCGGGAGCGCUGAAUUUGCACGUGGUGCCCAGCGUGUGUCUGCUCACCUGAUGCGGGCUGGGCUUUGUGACAGCCCCUCGGUGUCUACAUUGUCUAACUUAAGGGCUCUUGGCAGCCGAGCGCCUUGCCUCCUACCUGUAUUCCCCCCGUUAGUACUCCGGGCCAGCUCUUGAGGGGAGUUCUUAUCCCCACCAGAGAGGUGAAUGACCUCAACCUCGGAGAGGUGAAGGAACCCGCUGCCCUCUGCCCUCGGCUCCCUGACGCGCCAACUUGCUGCAAACAAAGCUUCUUUGGUUUCAAGAAAAAGAAGCCCAUUCAGUUUACCUCAGGAAAAGUUAUCCUGAAGGAUCCAGCAGGCUCGUGGGAAUCCAAGCACAGGAACUGCGGCCGCCAUGCAUGGGCUUCAUGCCCAGCCCGGAGCUCAGUUGCGGGGCUUGAACUCACAACCCUGAGAUCAAGAUCUGAGCUGAGAUCAAAAGUUGGACGGUCAACCAUCUGAGCCACCCAGGAGCCCCUAGUGAAUGGAGUUUAAUGGGAACAGACCAAGAUGCCUAACUGGCACUUCUCACUCUGCCCUGGUACAGAUGCAAAAUUCGGAAAUUCUGAACGUCAAAUCUGUUUGAUUAUUAAUCAUGGAAAUAUUAAUUAUAAUAACUCAGAUUUGAAUCAUCAUGUAUACUGUUUAUAAGUUUUAAAAAAAUAGGGGUAAAAUAAACAUAACCUAAAAUUUACCGUUUUAAGCACUUGAGUGUACAAUUCAUGGCAUUUAGUACAUUCAUGGUGUUGUGCAACCGUCACCUCUGUCUAGUACCGGGACAUUUCCAUCACCUUAAAAGGAAACCCCAUACCCAUUAAUCAGCCACUUUCCGUUUCUCCUCCCCCAGCCACUGGCAACCACUAAUCUCUCUUUCUUUGUAUAUUUGCCUGUUGUGGAUAUUUUACAUAAAUGAAAUUAUGUGUCUGGCUUCUUUUGCUAAGCACAAUGUUU